rnacentral:lncRNA from 1 species
AGACAGCCUCUCAGCUCUUAGCCCCCUUUGAGGAUGACCUCAGCUGACAAAAGCUGCCUAACCUAGCCUACACACUCUUCAUAGGUAGCCUUCAUUCAAUGACUGAUGAACAUGUGGUUAUAAAAGCCUGGCCACUUCACCCCAAUUCAGGACAGCUGGUGUUGGCCCCCAAAAUACUUCCUAAUAAAUCUCCUGCAUGAAAUCACCAUCUCAAAGUGUACCUUCUGGAGAAUACAGUGUUUGGAAAGCAGUAAGUCAUGGCUAAAUACAGCAAUAUGCUCUGGAGUUCACUUGGAUACUUCCCUAGGCAAAAGGCAAGUCCAAUUAUGGAUAAACAUGGCUAGACUACGAGCUCAACAUCAAGAAAAGCCAUUUCACCUAUGUAACCAACUAACCUAGAUGACCAAGCCUAAUUAUAGAGUUUUCAUUCAAAACCACUUUGUGCUUGGUAGACACUAAAUUGAAGCAAGGCAGCAAGUGGGUCUCACAGCCAGUCCCUCAAAGACGUAUCAAAAGCAGGAACUUCUUAAAACACUAGAAACUGAACUAGUACUUUACAACCCAUCAGCAAACUAAAGACGGGGAAGACCACACAAAGAUUAUUCACCUUAAUCAAAAACAUGGGACCAGCUCAGCAGCUCAUCACCACAGAAAAUAGAUGAAUGGAAAGAAAAUGGCUGCUCUAGACACGAGGCAAUUUCUGGAAAUCAGGAUGGUGACAUUGGAGAAGAAACUGAAGAUUCUUGGAGAAAUAUUAACUUCAUCUCAGUAAAAUGGAAGGCUUGCCAUGUUUCUCCUGUGGCUUUGACUACUCCUGGCACAUUGUACCUGCAACUUCCCUGCCUGGCCCUCACCCUGAGGCACAAAGACUCCAGUUUGAAAAGUGUGAGAUUAACAAAUAGAUUUUGUUCUCUUUACCAAAAUUUUAUUAUAUAGCUUAUUCUAUAUAAUGACAAGGUAACUGCAUUUUCU